rnacentral:rRNA from 1 species
ACUAAUUCUAGCCCUAACAUCUACUUUUAUAAACAUUCAAUUACAUAAAAUAAAACAUUUAUACUCUAAAAAGUAUUGGAGAAAGAAAUUUACAUUUAGGAGCUAUAGAGUAAGUACCGUAAGGGAAAGAUGAAAGAUUAAUUUACAGUACAAACAAGCAAAGAUUAAAUCUUGUACCUUUUGCAUAAUGAAUUAACUAGAAAAUUUCUGACUAAAAGAAUUUAAGCCAGAAAUCCCGAAACCAAACGAGCUACCUAAAAACAAUUUUAUGAAUAAACCCGUCUAUGUAGCAAAAUAGUGGGAAGAUUUUUAGGUAGAGGUGAAAAGCCAAACGAGCUUGGUGAUAGCUGGUAACCCAAAAAAUGAAUUUAAGUUCAGCUUUAAAUUUACUUACAGAACAAAAAAUCCACACGUAAAUUUAAAUAAUAGCCAAAAGAGGGACAGCUCUUUAGGAACGGAAAAAACCUUUAAUAGUGAAUAAACAAAUAUAAUUUAACCAUUGUUGGCCUAAAAGCAGCCACCAAUAAAGAAAGCGUUCAAGCUCAACAUAACCUAAAAAAUAAUCCCAAAAUUAUAAUAACUUCCUAAACUACAAAUUGGGUUAUUCUAUGACCUCAUAGAAGAAAUACUGUUAAUAUGAGUAACAAGAACCUAUUCUCCAAGCACAAGUGUAUAACAACUCGGAUAACCAUUGUUAGUUACCAGAUUAUAGAUAUUAAUCCUCAAAUAAACUAUCUAAAAAUAACCUGUUAACCCAACACAGGAGUGCAACAAGGAAAGAUUAACCAAAAUAAAAGGAACUCGGCAAACUAGAACCCCGCCUGUUUACCAAAAACAUCACCUCUAGCAUUUCAAGUAUUAGAGGCAUUGCCUGCCCAGUGACUAUAGUUAAACGGCCGCGGUAUCCUGACCGUGCAAAGGUAGCAUAAUCAUUUGUUCCUUAAUUAGGGACUAGUAUGAACGGCUAGACGAGGGAUCAACUGUCUCUUAUUUUUAAUCAGUGAAAUUGACCUUCCAGUGAAGAGGCUGGAAUAUAAUAAUAAGACGAGAAGACCCUAUGGAGCUUAAAUUAACAAGCUUAAUUAUUAACUUCAACACCCUAAUGGAAUAAAACAAAAAAUAUAAGCUUAAAAUUUUGGUUGGGGUGACCUCGGAGAAUAAAAAAUCCUCCGAAAGAUAUAUAACAUAGACCUACAAGUCAAAGUAACUAAAAUAUCUAAUUGACCCAAAAAUUGAUCAACGGACCAAGUUACCCUAGGGAUAACAGCGCAAUCCUAUUUAAGAGUCCAUAUCGACAAUAGGGUUUACGACCUCGAUGUUGGAUCAGGACAUCCCAAUGGUGCAGAAGCUAUUAAUGGUUCGUUUGUUCAACGAUUAAAGUCCUACGUGAUCUGAGUUCAGACCGGAGAAAUCCAGGUCGGUUUCUAUCUAUUAACAAUUUCUCCCAGUACGAAAGGAUAAGAGAAAUAGAGCCAACUUAACAAAAGCGCUCUAAACUAAAUUUAUGAAAAAAAUCUAAAUAAAAAAUGUAUGUUAAUACUUCACCUAGACAAGGUU